GGCGCAUGUAACCAAUUACACGCGAAAUUACGGGUGAAGACCCAGUGAUUACGGGUGGAUUUUACGCGGUGCUGGAGGUGAAUUACGGGCACAUGUAACCAAUUACACACAAAAUUACGGGUGAAGACCCAGUGAUUACGGUUGAAUAUUACGCGGUGCUGCAGGUGAAUUACGGGCGCAUGUAACCAAUUACAUGCGAAAUUACGGGUGAAGACCCAGAGAUUACGGGUGGAUUUUACGUGGUGCUGGAGGUGAAUUACGGGCGCAUGUAACCAAUUACAUGCAAAAUUACGGGUGAAGACCCAGUGAUUACGGGUGGAUUUUACGCGGUGCUGGAGGUGAAUUACGGGCACAUGUAACCAAUUACACGCAAAAUUACGGGUGAAGACCCAGUGAUUACGGGUGGAUUUUACGCGGUGCUGGAGGUGAAUUACGGGCGCAUGUAACCAAUUACACGCGAAAUUACGGGUGAAGACCCAGUGAUUACGGUUGAAUAUUACGCGGUGCUGGAGGUGAAUUACGGGUGCAUGUAACCAAUUACACGCAAAAUUACGGGUGAAGACCCAGAGAUUACGGGUUACACGGGCAGAUAUUACUCUGUGAUGUGAUGCUUACUGCGUGUUAAAUUAACGAUUGGUGAAUAGUGCGGCAAGCCUCAAGAUGGACGCGAACCCCUUGUCAAAGUAGCCUAAGUCUAAGUAUGCUUGUGGACCAAGGCGCUUUGGACUCACAACGCCAACCAGCCAGCCUGACAGCCUGAUGCAUUCAUCCAAACCAUCAUCCUCGAAAACAGCGUUCAUGUCACCCCCCAUACAGCAAGUGCUCUCCAAGAAGUCUCACCACCACUUGCAGAGUUCGUGCCUACUGCUUACUCCUAUGGAUGAAACCCCCGAUGUAUGACAUGUACCGGCACCUAUUGGGAUUGGUCUGUCCCAUCCUGCCUGGGGCCGACCUGGUGUGUGCACCCCCAAGCGCUCAUCACUGCUGCCAUGUUACUGCUCACUUCCACCACUGCCACUGCUGCCACUGCCACUGUUGCUGCUGCUAGCUUCGCUAUAUUUGCCUGUGUCCUCCGAGCUGGACUCCUCC
rnacentral:lncRNA from 1 species